UUGGAGGGCAAGUCUGGUGCCAGCAGCCGCGGUAAUUCCAGCUCCAAUAGCGUAUAUUAAAGUUGUUGCAGUUAAAAAGCUCGUAGUUGAAUUUCGGGGUUAGUAGGUUGGUCAUGCCUCUGGUAUGUACUGGUCUCACUGAUUCCUCCUUCCUGAUGAUCCGUAAUGCCAUUUAUUUGGUGUUGCGGGGAAUUUGGACUGUUACUUUGAAAAAAUUAGAGUGUUUAAAGCAAGCUAACGCUUGAAUACAUUAGCAUGGAAUAAUGAAAUAGGACGUUCGAUCCUAUUUUGUUGGUUUCUAGGAUUGACGUAAUGAUUAAUAGGGAUAGUUGGGGGCAUUAGUAUUCAAUUGUCAGAGGUGAAAUUCUUGGAUUUAUUGAAGACUAACUACUGCGAAAGCAUUUGCCAAGGAUGUUUUCAUUAAUCAAGAACGAAAGUUAGAGGAUCGAAGACGAUCAGAUACCGUCGUAGUCUUAACCAUAAACUAUGCCGACUAGGGAUCGGAUGAUGUUAAUUUUUUAAUGACUCAUUCGGCGCCUUACGGGAAAC
rnacentral:rRNA from 1 species